UCCCGUUAGUAAGAGCGAACAGUUAAGACGGAGGAAGGACAGUGCUUAGAGGCAGGCGGUUGGUCCCUUAUAAAUGGCGGCACGGUGGGUGAAUGGGAGUGCGCGGCUUGGUGUGUAGGCCUAAGAAAAGUGCAUAGACCUCUCAUGAACCCGUGGAAAGGAGGGCAUGAACCGUGAGGCGCCUGUGAGUAUGUUGAUAUCGAAAGGAUUGGAUAAAACGUAGCAAGAAGACCAUGCACACAAGAAAGCGAUGCAAAAGUGUAAGGAAAGUAAUAAAAAGUAAUAAAAAAAUGUAAAUGAAAGAAAAAUUUAAAGCUCCGUAGAAGAAAAGUUAUAUAGAGUUUGAAUGAAAUGAAAAAAAAGGAAAAGAAAAAAAAACUACUACUAAACUGCCCAAGUAAAAGUUAAAGAGAAUAAAGAAAAAAAGCGAGUUUGAAAGACAGGGGAGAAUAUUAAGUAAGAAUAAUAAAAAAAAAUAAUCAAGUAAGAAAAAAAAGAGCAAAAUUUGCCUUAUUUACGUAAAACUAUAAAAUGUUAAAAAAAAAGGUUAAUGAAAGUUAUGAAAAUGCUGGAAAAUGAGAUAGAGAGAAGUGAAAGUAGAAUAAUCAGGGAAACGAGUGGAGAAAAAAAAAAGAUAGUGAAGAAAUAAGAUAAUAGAAGAUAAUAGAACUGAGGUGAGGUUGUAAGAAAAGAGUUAAUAGUAAAGUACUAAAAUUUAUAAGAAAAAUUGAAGAGUUCGGAUAAAUUUAGUGGUGCUUCUUUUAAAAUAAAGAUAAUUGGAAAGAAAGAGGAGGAGGUGGGGUAGUGUGUGUGUGUGUGUGUGUGUGUGUGUGUGUGUGUGUGUGUGUGUGUGUCUGGGUUAGUGUGAAUGACAAGUUAAAAGGUCAUGAUCACUUUUUGACACACACACACACACACACACACACACACACACACACACACACACACACACACACACACACACACACACACACACACACACACACACACACACACACACACACACACACACGGCCUGUUUCUGGAGUUCUAAAAAGUGUGUCUUAGCCUUCGCGUGAGUGAAAGUUGUUCGCAAUUUUAAGAAAAACACACGAAAUGAGAAAAACAAGAAAAAUAAACUACAAGCUAGAAGAGUUUGAAGUGUAGCAAGAGGAAAGAAGAGGAACCAGGAGAGGAAAAAGACGAGAAAUGUGUCUGCUUGGGGACUGAGGGUCAGGGGCAUGAAGGGGGUGAUGGGCGGAGUGUGGCCGCGGCCUCGGGCGCCGCAUGACGGUAUAUAAGAAAGGCUGGGAUGGGCAGCCGUCACUCGCAUCCCAGUUACUCCUUCAUUCACUUCCCUCACUCACUCAAGAACUCGUAGUCAUGAGGUGCCUACUUAUGGUGGUCUGCCUGGCUGUCAUGGCCGCCGUGGCUCAGGCUAUGACCAGCCUGGGACGUGGUGGACUUGGCUCAGGGUUUGGUUACAUUAGCGGAUAUGACGGACACGGCGGACUUGGCAGCUUCGG